UGUGUAAAUCGGUCGCAAGCGACACAAAUAAAGCCUCAUCAAAACAAUGAAUAAUAAAAUUUACUUUCAAAACCUCAACACGUUAUAUCUCUCUCUUUGUCCUUGUCAAUCAAAAACCUUUUUAUUAUCAUAACAAUACCGUAUAUGGUCCUUGCAUGUUCACGCACAAAACGUUCAUUAAUAGAUUAACUAAUAUCAAUUAAAUGGUUCAAUAACUUGUGACACGACUCCCCCAUUUAGGAGUGAUUUACUUGUUAACCCACUCCAAACCACAAAUUCUGAAGUGACUAUCUGAAAACUACUGUUUAACGUCCUUGUAAAGUUAUUGGUGCCCUCAGUAAACUCUGCUUAGAAAGUCCGCACCUACAUUCUCUAAACCCUUGAUGGACUCAAUCCUCAUCGCAUAACUCUGUAGAAACAUAGCCCAUCUCAUAAUACGAUCAUUCAAAAACUUCGCCCGGUUCAGGUAUAUUAAUGGUUGAUGGUCCAUCUGGAGUACAAACUCUCUUCCGUAAAGAUAGACUCAAAACUUCUGUAUCGCCCACACCAUCGCCAAACAUUCUCUUUCGAUAGUGCUGUACUUGCAUUCCCUCGGGGACAACUUUCUGCUAGCAUAACUGACCGGGAAUAAUUUUCCAUCAUGAUUCUGCAUCAGCACCGCUCCGAUUCCAACAUCUGAGGCAUUGGUUCUCAACAUAAACGGCUUGGCUGAAUCUGGGAGGUGAAAGAUGGGUUCACUCGCGAAUUCUCUCUUUAAUGUCAUGAAUGCAGACCUUUGAUCCCUUCCGAGACUCGGUGACCGACACCUUCGAUGGCUUUCGCGCCCAUCACACACUUUGUAGGUCUCGCCGUUAACUUAGCCCCGGACAGCCUGUGAAACAACUCAUCCAGGGCUACCAAAUGACCUUCCCAUGUCUCUGUGUGCACGAUGAUGUCGUCCAUGUAGUUGUCGACAUCGUCGAGGUCAUCGAUCAGUUUCCUCAUUCCUCUCGCUAACGUUGCUCCUGAGUUAACCAUUCCGAAUGGCAUUCUGAUAAAUUCGUAGGUCCCGUCCGGUGUAACAAACGCCGCCUUGGGAACAUCUUUCUCCGCAAUGGGAAUUUGCCAGUACCCUUUGCUCAAAUCAAUUCUCGUGAAAUAUUUUUUCUUGGCCAUCUUCUGAA